UUUCUUUCUCCCUUCAUUCAUUUCUCCGAACUCUAAUUUUGGUUGAGUCGACGAAGCUUUUAUCGAAUUGCAAUUCGUUAUCUCUAUGUAUAACUGUAUUUGGUUUUGUGUAGCCAUUCACUUUUUAUAGUUAAGUUUCUCUAGUGUAUUAGGAAUGUUUGAGUUGAACUGCUAGAUGGGGAAAAUGUUUGCCAAAUCUAAUUAGAGUAACAAAGUUUUUCAGAUCUCGGCAACGGCGACGGCAGCAGAGAAGAUGAUGGUGGAACCGUGGAUACUGAAAUGAGGCAAUUAGGUUAGUUCCAACCUAAAGCUGGCUCUGUACCUCAAGAAUUAGUUAUGCAUUUUCUGACAUGAAUGGCAACCAAGUUCCCCAAAGUAUAGCUGGAGUUGCAUUCAAGAAAAUUCUUUAGGAGGCGGGAUUGCAUUUCAUGAAUAUGUCAUUUCUCUAAAUACAUGGCUAACUAAUGCAUUGCCCUUGGAACGAACAGAGCAAUGACAUAUCUGUCAAGGAAGCAAUAUCAAUUGUGAUGGACAGGAACCCAGAUUUAAGGAAAAAAGGCAUUGCGUAUGAAGUCUUACAGCGGUAGGAUGGAGGCUUGGUUUUGCUGCUUAUGCAGAAGACAUAUUCGUUGCAAGCAUAGGAUCAGGUAUGGUUGGCUCCUUAGUAUUGUCACUACAAAAAAAUAGUAUAUUUGUAACGGAAUUCCGUUCCUAAAGUUCACGUAGCUAACGUAAUUCCACCUCUAAUAUUAUUAGUAACGGAAAAAGUGGAUUUAACAACGAAAAAUUUUGUUAUAAAAUUGAUAUUUUUUUGUAGUGUGUCUUAUUUAUAUUAUGAGACUCUUGGAAAGAGAUAUCUAAUUAGAACUGUGUGCUAUGGAUGCAAUAUCGUAAAUCGCCACUUUUAUCCUAUACAAUUUAUAAUGCUUAUACUUCUUCAAUGAUACAUAUAGAUUGACAAUCUCUGUUGCAAGGCUUUAAAGAUUCUGACUUUUCUCCUUAUACAUACAUACAUACAUACAUUUCUGUUAGUGUUGCUGUAAUUUUAAUUCGCUUUGUGAUGUUCUAUUAUUUGUUAUUCUAAAUUAUGAAGUUGUCGAAGAGAAUUUGUACUGGAAAUAUAUUCGAAGAGAAUUUGUACUUCCUUGUGGUGUGUGUGGGCUAUAAUAUGUAAUAGCUCUAAUAUAUUCAUUAUAUGUAAUAAUGUCUAUGAUCUUCAAUACAUCUAUGGCCUGGCUGCUGUCCUAUACUUUCUCUUCCGGUAUAGCUAAAACUAUUAACGAUAAUGUCUCCCGGAAGAAGCAACAUGAGCUUCAGGGCAAAGGCGGAAUUCUAUCUUCUUGAUUCGGAGAUUUACUCGGUACAUCCUCUAAUUAUUUAUGUUCCUUAUUCAUUCAGUACUAUACUAUAUGCCUUAGAACACAACAAUGUUUAAAAAGUAUUCUUCCUCAGAAGCUAAUUCCUUGAACAAGACAGUGAACUUGCCGGAACUUCUUGAUACAAGACUCAGAAGUAGAAUUAUAAAAGUUAAACUAAAAAGAAGUUAAGACGGCCAUGUUGGUUUUUUCUCUCUUUUGCUUUUUUUGUCUAUUGCAGAUAAUUAAAGAUGCAACCAGAGUAGAUGAUUGAGGAUGUAGGAAGAACCAAGAAUGCUACAUGCAGAACAACAUGCACAGAGAGCAUGGCAGACCAGAUUUCUUACAAAAGUUUCAAUCAUGUUUUAACAAGGCAUUGCUGUCACUUUCCAUUGCACGAAGGCUUCCAAGAAGAAGGUUUGAGCUUUGGCUAAUUAUUUGUAAAACAACCACAUAAGUAAUAUAAUAUUGUU